AGGCCUUGCAGUUUCGGCCUAAAGGAGAGCGCGGGGGAGGCCCGGGUCUCGGGUGACACCCACGCCCAGAGUGCGACUGUGGCUGCGAGGAAGGGACAAGAAAACGCUCCACUGUUCUGCACUGUGCGGGCUGACUGCCCCUAUAGCCCCGAGGGAUUUGAAAUUAGCACGCGUCGGAAUUCCCCGUGGGAUCCUGUCAAAAAUGUAGAUUUCUGGGCUUCACUCUGGGACUCUCUAGAUCAAUCGAUCUGAGGCGCGGCCUAGUAAUCUGCAUUUCUGUGUGGAUCACGGCUGAAAUAGCACAAGACUGGAAGUCAGAAGACCAGUUCAGAGGCAGUUGGGGACAUCUAGCUCUACCUUAACACCUAGGAUCCCAGGAAGGUACUGACAAAGUGGAAGCUGCCUCAAAGGGUGGAGACACUUUCAUCUUAUUGCCACCUGUGGCCAGUACGGAUUCCAAAAGACCAGGGGCCAGAGUGGUUUCAUCCCAGUUUUCUCUUGGCCUGGGGCCUUCUACAUCCAUCAGCAUGUUCUUUAUAUUUUAUAUCCUCAUUUACCUUCAAUUCAAUAUGUAUUUUUUGAGUAGUGGUUUGUGCAAGGAACCAUGCAGGAAGGAAAUACACAGAUGAGUGAG